CCUACGGGGGGCAGCAGUGAGGAAUAUUGGUCAAUGGACGAGAGUCUGAACCAGCCAAGUAGCGUGAAGGAUGAAUGCCCUAUGGGUUGUAAACUUCUUUUAUAUGGGAAUAAAAUGUUCCACGUGUGGGAUUUUGUAUGUACCAUAUGAAUAAGGAUCGGCUAACUCCGUGCCAGCAGCCGCGGUAAUACGGAGGAUCCGAGCGUUAUCCGGAUUUAUUGGGUUUAAAGGGAGCGUAGGUGGAUUGUUAAGUCAGUUGUGAAAGUUUGCGGCUCAACCGUAAAAUUGCAGUUGAAACUGGCAGUCUUGAGUACAGUAGAGGUGAGCGGAAUUCGUGGUGUAGCGGUGAAAUGCUUAGAUAUCACGAAGAACUCCGAUUGCGAAGGCAGUUCACUGGACUGCAACUGACACUGAGGCUCGAAAGUGUGGGUAUCAAACAGGAUUAGAUACCCCAGUAGUC
rnacentral:rRNA from 1 species